rnacentral:snoRNA from 1 species
AAGACCUUACUUCAUAGGAUCAUUUCUAUAGUAAGUUCUUCACGAGACCUUCACAACAUGUGAGAUUGUACCAACCACGUUGAUGAUAGUGACGGACGGU